AACGAACGCUGGCGGCAUGCCUAACACAUGCAAGUCGAACGAGACCUUCGGGUCUAGUGGCGUACGGGGGCGUAACGCGUGGGAACCUGCCCUUAGGUUCGGCAUAACUCCCCGAAAGGGGUGCUAAUACCGGAUAAUGUCUUCGGACCAAAGAUUUAUCGCCCUUGGAUGGGCCCGCGUUGGAUUAGCUAGUUGGUAGGGUAAAAGCCUACCAAGGCGACGAUCCAUAGCUGGUCUGAGAGGAUGAUCGGCCACACUGGGACUGAGACACGGCCCAGACUCCUACGGGAGGCAGCAGUGGGGAAUAUUGGACAAUGGGCGAAAGCCUGAUCCAGCAAUGCCGCGUGAGUGAUGAAGGCCUUAGGGUUGUAAAGCUCUUUUACCCGGGAUGAUAAUGACAGUACCGGGAGAAUAAGCUCCGGCUAACUCCGUG
rnacentral:rRNA from 1 species